GAUGAACGCUGGCGGCGUGCCUAAUACAUGCAAGUCGAGCGAACGGACGAGAAGCUUGCUUCUCUGAUGUUAGCGGCGGACGGGUGAGUAACACGUGGAUAACCUACCUAUAAGACUGGGAUAACUUCGGGAAACCGGAGCUAAUACCGGAUAAUAUUUUGAACCGCAUGGUUCAAAAGUGAAAGACGGUCUUGCUGUCACUUAUAGAUGGAUCCGCGCUGCAUUAGCUAGUUGGUAAGGUAACGGCUUACCAAGGCAACGAUGCAUAGCCGACCUGAGAGGGUGAUCGGCCACACUGGAACUGAGACACGGUCCAGACUCCUACGGGAGGCAGCAGUAGGGAAUCUUCCGCAAUGGGCGAAAGCCUGACGGAGCAACGCCGCGUGAGUGAUGAAGGUCUUCGGAUCGUAAAACUCUGUUAUUAGGGAAGAACAUAUGUGUAAGUAACUGUGCACAUCUUGACGGUACCUAAUCAGAAAGCCACGGCUAACUACGUGCCAGCAGCCGCGGUAAUACGUAGGUGGCAAGCGUUAUCCGGAAUUAUUGGGCGUAAAGCGCGCGUAGGCGGUUUUUUAAGUCUGAUGUGAAAGCCCACGGCUCAACCGUGGAGGGUCAUUGGAAACUGGAAAACUUGAGUGCAGAAGAGGAAAGUGGAAUUCCAUGUGUAGCGGUGAAAUGCGCAGAGAUAUGGAGGAACACCAGUGGCGAAGGCGACUUUCUGGUCUGUAACUGACGCUGAUGUGCGAAAGCGUGGGGAUCAAACAGGAUUAGAUACCCUGGUAGUCCACGCCGUAAACGAUGAGUGCUAAGUGUUAGGGGGUUUCCGCCCCUUAGUGCUGCAGCUAACGCAUUAAGCACUCCGCCUGGGGAGUACGACCGCAAGGUUGAAACUCAAAGGAAUUGACGGGGACCCGCACAAGCGGUGGAGCAUGUGGUUUAAUUCGAAGCAACGCGAAGAACCUUACCAAAUCUUGACAUCCUUUGACAACUCUAGAGAUAGAGCCUUCCCCUUCGGGGGGGCAAAGUGACAGGUGGUGCAUGGUUGUCGUCAACUCGUGUCGUGAGAUGUUGGGUUAAGUCCCGCAACGAGCGCAACCCUUAAGCUUAGUUGCCAUCAUUAAGUUGGGCACUCUAAGUUGACUGCCGGUGACAAACCGGAGGAAGGUGGGGAUGACGCCAAAUCAUCAUGCCCCUUAUGAUUUGGGCUACACACGUGCUACAAUGGACAAUACAAAGGGCAGCGAAACCGCGAGGUCAAGCAAAUCCCAUAAAGUUGUUCUCAGUUCGGAUUGUAGUCUGCAACUCGACUACAUGAAGCUGGAAUCGCUAGUAAUCGUAGAUCAGCAUGCUACGGUGAAUACGUUCCCGGGUCU
rnacentral:rRNA from 1 species